UGAUAACCUGCGCCUAGACAACCAUCUGGAA
rnacentral:piRNA from 1 species